rnacentral:rRNA from 1 species
GAUGAACGCUGGCGGCGUGCCUAAUACAUGCAAGUCGAGCGAACGGACGAGAAGCUUGCUUCUCUGAUGUUAGCGGCGGACGGGUGAGUAACACGUGGAUAACCUACCUAUAAGACUGGGAUAACUUCGGGAAACCGGAGCUAAUACCGGAUGAUAUUUUGAACCGCAUGGUUCAAAAGUGAAAGACGGUCUUGCUGUCACUUAUAGAUGGAUCCGCGCUGCAUUAGCUAGUUGGUAAGGUAACGGCUUACCAAGGCAACGAUGCAUAGCCGACCUGAGAGGGGGAUCGGCCCCAUUGGAACUGAGACACGGUCCAGACUCCUACGGGAGGCAGCCGGAGGGAAUCUUCCGCAAUGGGCGAAAGCCUGACGGAGCAACGCCGCGUGAGUGAUGAAGGUCUUCGGAUCGUAAAACUCUGUUAUUAGGGAAGAACAUAUGUGUAAGUAACUGUGCACAUCUUGACGGUACCUAAUCAGAAAGCCACGGCUAACUACGUG